rnacentral:rRNA from 1 species
CUGGUCUGUAACUGACGCUGAGGCUCGAAAGCGUGGGAGCGAACAGGAUUAGAUACCCUGGUAGUCCACGCCGUAAACGAUGAGUGCUAGGUAUUGGAUCCUUUCCGGGAUUCAGUGCCGCAGCUAACGCAUUAAGCACUCCGCCUGGGGAGUACGACCGCAAGGUUGAAACUCAAAGGAAUUGACGGGGCCCGCACAAGCGGUGGAGCAUGUGGUUUAAUUCGAAGCAACGCGAAGAACCUUACCAGGUCUUGACAUCCCGAUGCUAUUUCUAGAGAUAGAAAGUUACUUCGGUACAUCGGUGACAGGUGGUGCAUGGUUGUCGUCAGCUCGUGUCGUGAGAUGUUGGGUUAAGUCCCGCAACGAGCGCAACCCUUGUC